AAAAACGUAUAAUCCCAAAGAAAAAAAUAUUUUGAAAUAAAAAUAAAACUUUAGCGAAUAAAAUCAAUUUAAAAGGAAGAUUUAAACAAGCAAUCCAAAAAACCAAAAUAAAAAGGAAUUGAAAGAAUUUCAAAUAUAAAUAAGAUAUUUUCAAAUAAAAUAACGUAAAAUCGAGAAUUUAAACGGAAAGAUCGAAAACACAAAGUAAAGCUGAAAAUGGAAGGAAAUAAAAUACAAGAAAAUUCUAAGGAAGAAGUCGGCAAUUUCGAAAAUCAAAAAGACAAUGUUGGUUGCUAUUGAAAAUUUUGGAACAAAGGAACAACAAAAUGGGCCACAAUAGGAUUUGGAAAUUCCUUUUUAUUGAGGACGAUCAAAAUCUUUUAGCUGUUCGCUCCAAGUUAUAUACAAUAUCCGUAGUAAUGGGGUAUAAUAUGUUCUAUGCGGCAAUUUAUGUCAUGUGGAUAAUGUUACGUAUAAUAUUGUCUACAGCACCGGGAAGAUUAGACAACUACAUUCGUUUUUAAAUAUUACAUAAUUGUUUAUACUUCUUCUGUUCUUGUGUUAAACUGUUUAUUUCAAAAUUAAUGUUGAUAUUCAUCUCCAUUCUUUAAAACAAAAAAGUUUUAAAUAGAAUUUUGUUGUGUUUUUCAUAAAUGAUAAAAUUUAAAUGAAAAAUGGAGAUAAAUUCUAUUCAAAAUCUUUUUGUUUAUGGAACGGAGAGGAAUAAAGGUUUCUUGUUAUUUGUUUGUUAUUUUUUAAUUUGUUUGAAAUAAAUGUU